rnacentral:rRNA from 1 species
AACGAACGUUAGCGGCGCGCCUAACACAUGCAAGUCGUGCGAGAAAGGGCUUCGGCCCCGGUAAAGCGGCGCACGGGUGAGUAACACGUAGGUAAUCUGCCCUCUGGUGGUGGAUAACCUUCCGAAAGGAAGGCUAAUACAGCAUAAGACCACGGUUUCGCAUGAGACUGGGGUAAAAGCGGGCCUCUUCAUGAAAGCUCGCUCCAGGGGAUGAGCCUGCGGCCCAUCAGCUAGUUGGUAGGGUAAUGGCCUACCAAGGCGAAGACGGGUAGCUGGUCUGAGAGGAUGAUCAGCCACACUGGAACUGAGACACGGUCCAGACUCCUACGGGAGGCAGCAGUGGGGGAAUCUUGCGCAAUGGGCGAAAGCCUGACGCAGCGACGCCGCGUGAGUGAUGAAGGCCUUCGGUUGUAAAGCGUCUGUGGAGGGGGGACGAAGUAAGUGUCGUCGAAUAGACGCAUGAGUGACGGUACCCCUUAGUCAAGCACCGGCUAACUCUGU